AACGAACGCUGGCGGCAUGCCUAACACAUGCAAGUCGAACGAGACCUUCGGGUCUAGUGGCGCACGGGUGCGUAACGCGUGGGAAUCUACCCUUGGGUUCGGAAUAACAGUUAGAAAUGACUGCUAAUACCGGAUGAUGACGUAAGUCCAAAGAUUUAUCGCCCAAGGAUGAGCCCGCGUAAGAUUAGCUUGUUGGUGGGGUAAUGGCCUACCAAGGCGACGAUCUUUAGCUGGACUGAGAGGAUGAUCAGCCACACUGGGACGGGGACACGGCCCAGACUCCUACGGGAGGCAGCAGUGGGGAAUAUUGGACAAUGGGCGAAAGCCUGAGCCAGCAAUGCCGCGUGAGUGAUGAAGGCCUUAGGGUUGUAAAGCUCUUUUACCAGGGAUGAUAAUGACAGUACCUGGAGAAUAAGCUCCGGCUAACUCCGUGCCAGCCGCCGCUGUAA
rnacentral:rRNA from 1 species